GAUGAAUGCUGGCGGCGUGCCUAAUACAUGCAAGUCGAGCGGUAACAGGAGUAGUUUACUACUUGCUGACGAGCGGCGGACGGCUGAGUAACGCGUGGGAACGUGCCCCAAAGUGAGGGAUAACGCACCGAAAGGUGUGCUAAUACCGCAUAUGGUCUUCGGAUUAAAGCUUCGGCGCUUUGGGAGCGGCCCGCGUACGAUUAGAUAGUUGGUGAGGUAAUGGCUCACCAAGUCGACGAUCGUUAGCUGGUCUGAGGGGAUGAUCAGCCAGACUGGAACUGAGACACGGUCCAGACUCCUACGGGAGGCAGCAGUAAGGAAUCUUCCACAAUGGGGGCAACCCUGAUGGAGCAACGCCGCGUGCAGGAUGAAGGCCCUCGGGUCGUAAACUGCUUUUCUCAGGGAAAAAGGAUGAUGGUACCUGAGGAAUAAGCCCCGGCUAACUACGUG
rnacentral:rRNA from 1 species